CUGGCGGCGUGCCUAAUACAUGCAAGUCGAACGAAGCUUUCUUUCACCGAAUGCUUGCAUUCACCGAAAGAAAACUUAGUGGCGAACGGGUGAGUAACACGUAGGCAACCUGCCCAAAAGAGGGGGAUAACACUUGGAAACAGGUGCUAAUACCGCAUAACCAUGAACACCGCAUGAUGUUCAUGUAAAAGACGGCUUUUGCUGUCACUUUUGGAUGGGCCUGCGGCGUAUUAACUUGUUGGUGGGGUAACGGCCUACCAAGGUGAUGAUACGUAGCCGAACUGAGAGGUUGAUCGGCCACAUUGGGACUGAGACACGGCCCAAACUCCUACGGGAGGCAGCAGUAGGGAAUCUUCCACAAUGGACGAAAGUCUGAUGGAGCAACGCCGCGUGAAUGAAGAAGGCCUUCGGGUCGUAAAAUUCUGUUGUCAGAGAAGAACGUGCGUGAGAGUAACUGUUCACGUAUUGACGGUAUCUGACCAGAAAGCCACGGCUAACUACGUGCCAGCAGCCGCGGUAAUACGUAGGUGGCGAGCGUUGUCCGGAUUUAUUGGGCGUAAAGGGAACGCAGGCGGUCUUUUAAGUCUGAUGUGAAAGCCUUCGGCUUAACCGAAGUAGUGCAUUGGAAACUGGAAGACUUGAGUGCAGAAGAGGAGAGUGGAACUCCAUGUGUAGCGGUGAAAUGCGUAGAUAUAUGGAAGAACACCAGUGGCGAAAGCGGCUCUCUGGUCUGUAACUGACGCUGAGGUUCGAAAGCGUGGGUAGCAAACAGGAUUAGAUACCCUGGUAGUCCACGCCGUAAACGAUGAGUGCUAAGUGUUGGAGGGUUUCCGCCCUUCAGUGCUGCAGCUAACGCAUUAAGCACUCCGCCUGGGGAG
rnacentral:rRNA from 1 species